rnacentral:rRNA from 1 species
UGGGGAAUCUUGCGCAAUGCGCGAAAGCGUGACGCAGCAACGCCGCGUGGGGGAAGACGGCUUUCGGGUUGUAAACCCCUUUCAGUUGGGACGAAGCUUCGUCGGUGAAUAGCCGACUGGAGUGACGGUACCUUCAAAAGAAGCACCGGCUAACUACGUGCCAGCAGCCGCGGUAAUACGUAGGGUGCAAGCGUUGUCCGGAAUUAUUGGGCGUAAAGAGCGUGUAGGCGGUCCGAUCAGUCUGCUGUGAAAGUCCAGGGCUCAACCCUGGAAUGCCGGUGGAUACUGUCGGGCUAGAGUCCGGAAGAGGCGAGUGGAAUUCCUGGUGUAGCGGUGAAAUGCGCAGAUAUCAGGAGGAACACCUAUAGCGAAGGCAGCUCGCUGGGACGGUACUGACGCUGAGACGCGAAAGCGUGGGUAGCGAACAGG